rnacentral:rRNA from 1 species
AGAGUUUGAUCCUGGCUCAGAUUGAACGCUGGCGGCAUGCCUUACACAUGCAAGUCGAACGGUAACAGGUCUUCGGAUGCUGACGAGUGGCGAACGGGUGAGUAACACAUCGGAACGUGCCCGAUCGUGGGGGAUAACGGAGCGAAAGCUUUGCUAAUACCGCAUACGACCUGAGGGUGAAAGCGGGGGACCUGCAAGGGCCUCGCGCGAUGGGAGCGGCCGAUAUCGGAUUAGCUAGUUGGUGAGGUAAAGGCUCACCAAGGCGACGAUCCGUAGCGGGUCUGAGAGGACGACCCGCCACACUGGAACUGAGACACGGUCCAGACUCCUACGGGAGGCAGCAGUGGGGAAUUUUGGACAAUGGGGGAAACCCUGAUCCAGCCAUUCCGCGUGAGUGAAGAAGGCCUUCGGGUUGUAAAGCUCUUUCAGCAGGAACGAAACGGUAGGCUUUAAUACAGUCUGCUAAUGACGGUACCUGCAGAAGAAGCACCGGCUAACUACGUGCCAGCAGCCGCGGUAAUACGUAGGGUGCGAGCGUUAAUCGGAAUUACUGGGCGUAAAGCGUGCGCAGGCGGCGACAUAAGACAGAUGUGAAAUCCCCGGGCUCAACCUGGGAACUGCGUUUGUGACUGUGUUGCUAGAGUGUAGCAGAGGGGGGUGGAAUUCCACGUGUAGCAGUGAAAUGCGUAGAGAUGUGGAGGAACACCGAUGGCGAAGGCAGCCCCCUGGGUUAACACUGACGCUCAUGCACGAAAGCGUGGGGAGCAAACAGGAUUAGAUACCCUGGUAG